CCUCCCUCCAGACACAAGGCUGUCUAAGGUUUCCUUUCCCACUUAGAGAACCCGUGACGAAGACCUGGCUCAGGUGAUCGCUCCAGGAAAUCAAUUGAGAAGAAGUCACGGGAGCAGAGAGAGAUGAAGCACCGCCUGGCAGCCCUCUCUGCCCACAUAACAGAGCUGGAGAAGGACCUGGACAUGGCCAGGAAGGACCUCCUGAAUUCCAAGGAAGUGAAAGUGAAAUUACAGCAGGACAUCCGUGAAGCUAUGGCCCAGAAGGAGGACAUGGAGAAGAGAAUCACUACACUUGAGAAACGCUACCUCGGUGCACAGCGCAAAGCCAUCUCUGUGCACAACCUCCAUGAUAAACUUGAAAAUGAAAUCGCAAAUAAGGAUUCUAUGCAUCGACAGAAGGAGGAUAAAGACCGACAGCUGCAGGAGUGCCUGGAGCUGGCAGACCAGAAGCUGCAGCAGAUGCUGACAGAAGUGGUGGCUGAGCUGGCUCAGCCGGUGGCUGCGCUCUCCAAGGUGCUGCUCUUGGUCCCCGGGGGGGCUGGCGUGGGGAGGGCCUCUUCCCUUGCUGUCCCACCGUGCCCCUCCCCAUGCUGCUCAGUCCACAAAGGAGCGCAGACACGGGGGUCGUACUGCCCCUCUGCGAUGGGAGCGCUCCCUGAGUGUCAGACAGUCCCCGCUCCCGUGUCAUCCCUGUGUUAACUUCCCUCCAGUUUUGUCCUGUGCUCUGUGUGUCCCCAGGAUGCUUCAACUCCGAGUCACUGCUGCUCAGAGUUCAGUCAGCAGCUCAAAGCCUAGCAGGAUAAAGAACAAGAAAAAUCCCAUUCUCCUUAAGAGAUGGCCAAAAUAGCUCUGUCAUGAACACAGUUUUAACUCUUUAUUUAUACAUUGUUGAAUAAGUCACAGCAGGGCACGGUGCAGACCCAGGGCCCCACUCCCAGCUUGCAGUCCCUGGGAGCCCACGGGUGAGAGGCCGCGUCCAGGAGACGUGGCGCUGCUGGGGAUAUGGUGCCCACAGCCAGCCAGCCACCCUGUCCUUCUGGCUGGAAAGGUGUUGCCCCGUAAUGCUGGUGGGCGCUGGCUGGGCAUGGAGAGGCGGGCCGGGCCUGUGCUGGCCUGGCUGUUGGAGCGUUGCCUGGAGCUCAGGGAGCGCCUGAGGGGCUGGCCGGUUUCCGGAGCCGGGUGGUGUCCUGUGCUGCCAAACCCUCCCUGAGCAGGGUCACUAACAGCCGCCAGGGGGCGCCCUUCUGCCUGUGAUCUUCCCCUCAAGGGCUGGUUUCUUCUCUCCCCUGGCAUCUUUGCUGUCUGUCCCCGGUCGGCCUUGCAGUCUGAACUUUUGUCUUCCGGAAGCUCUGCCACUAAGGAGGCGAAACUGUUCGAUCUCACCUCCCAGCUUAGGAAGGAAGAACGUGUGCUCUCGUGUGUCCCGUGCUUGCCACUGCCUGCUGCCCGCGCUGGCUCGCCCCAGGCAGUCUGAGGAGGAGGCCUGGGGCCAGGGGGAGCACCUCUCCUCUCACGAGCCGGUCACCAGCACCCUCCGUCACCCACGUGUCACACAUGAAGCCGCGCUGGCUGCGUGAGCAGGCGUGUGGGUGUGCCCCCCGCGAACCCGGGGCCAGUGGUCCGCACAGAGCAUGGCCCGCUUGCCGCCCCUGUGGUCACAGCCCGCGUGCCGUCAGGACAGGGUUGUUGAGAGCGGAGCUGACGCUGUUCUUGGCCGACAGGCGGGAGAGAGACCCAGCAGCAUGGAGGAGAGGGGCCUGUGGGCCGGAGACGCGGCUGGGCGGGGCCCGCGCUGCCUUUCUCCGCCGCUCCUGUCUCUGCGGUCCAGUGUGCGGGUGUGGCCCUGUCUGCUGAUCCAGGCACCCAACCUCGGGAGCAGGGCCAGAUGUGCUCGCCCCUAGGUGGUGGGCAGGGGCCAGGGGGUCCCCACGUUCAAGGAGGACGCUUGUUGCUCUGACCAGCCAGGCCGGGGAGCUGCUCAGCAUACAGUUGGACCUUACGAGUGGCCCUCAAACCUGAGGGAGCCAGCCUGAGGCCCGUCAAACGGAGGGCAUGGUGCCCAGGUGUGGAGGUGCUUGCCUCGGACGUGGCGCUGGAGUCCCACAUGCCAAACUGCUGGUCCAGACGUGGGGUGUGUGUGUAGGAUGGCUGCUCCUAGGCAGGAGGAGAACGGAAGUUAUGCUGCCACAGAAGGCCCGCCAGGAAAGGGCGAUGGUGGAGGCUCUCAUCAGAGAGCCCUGAGACAGGUUUCCCGGAAGGGCUGGCCACACAGCGGUACAGACCAUCCAGGAAAUGGAGUGGGGAUCCCAGGUCCAGCCUCAGGUGUCAGUACUGUCCCCACCAUAGCUGUGUUCUUGGGCCUGGACUGCAGGGCCUCACAUGUGGGCUCCCAGGGGGCUGUGGUUCUGACUCCCAUCAUGAGACCUCGGUGAGGCUCCCUAAGUAGAGAGCGCAAUGUCUCCCGAUCAGGGGUGCACUUCCUUACUUUCAGAACUGCUGCUCAGAGGCUGUUGAGAUUGGGAUGCUGUUUAUGACUAACCCAAUUCAAAGUAAACUUUCGUUUUGCUUUAAAAAUAUUUGAAUGCCGAUGCCUUAUUGGGAAAGCUGUGACAGGUUUUAUUUCCUUGGGCUCAAAAAUCACUGCAGACGGUGGCUGCAGCCAUGAGAUUAAAAAAUGCUUGCUCCUUGGAAAGCUACGACAAACCUAGACAGCAUAUUGAAAAGCAGAGACAUUGCUUUGCCGACAAAGGUCCAUAUAGUCAAAGCUAUCGUUUUUCCAGUAGUCACGUAUGGAUGUGAGAGUUGGACCAUAAAGAAGGCUGAACACUGAAGAACUGAUGUUUUGAAUUGUGUGCUGGAGAAGACACUGUUUUAACAGAAAAUAUUUAGCAGAAAAUAACCUGUCAACCCACUCCCCAGUACUCUUGCCCGAAAAAUCCCAUGGACUGAGGAGCCUGGUGGGCUGCAGUCCAUGGUGUCGUGAAGAGUCGGACACUGCUGAGCGACUUCACUUUCACUUUUCACUUUCAUGCAUUGGAGAAGGAAAUGGCAACCCACUCCAGUGUUCUUGCCUGGAGAAUCCCAGGGACAGCGGAGCCUGGUGGGCUGCCAUCUGUGGGGUCGCACAGAGUCGGACAUGACUGAAGCGACUUAGCAGCAGCAGCAGCAACCUGUUUUUUAAUUUUUUAUGAUGGAAUAUUUCAAACAUGCACAAAAGUGGAUGGAGUAGUGUAGUAAAUGCCCAUGACCAAUCAAUUGGCCUCAGCAAUUUCUAACACAGGGCCAAUCUCAAAUAUGGCAUUCUUUUGUCUUCUCUCCAUUUUUUUUUUAUACAGUAGGUCCUAAAACAGCUUUUUAAACCAUGAAAUUGAUGCUCAUUUUAUAAAUCACAGACUUUCCAACUUUGUUAUUACAUUUAAAAAUUGCUUGAGGUAAUUAUUUCCAGUUUUUCAAUAUGAAUUUUCAUAUUGGAAAAGACCCUGAUGUUGGGAAAGAUUGAAGGCAAGAAGAGAAUGGAUGACAGAGGAUGAGAUGGUUUGAUGGCAGUUCUGGGAGUUGGUGAUGGGCAGGGAAGCCUAGCAUGCUACAGUCCAUGGGGUCCUACAGUCAACCAUGACUGAGCAACUGAACUGAACUGAAUAUGAAUUAUCAUUGGAAGAAAAGCUAUGACCAACCUAGACAGCAUAUUAAAAAGCAGAGAUAUUGCUUUGCCAUCAAAGGAACACUUAAUUAAAGCUAUGGUUUUUCCAGUAAUCAUGUAUGGAUGUGAGAGUUGGACCGUAAAGAAGGCUGAGCACCAAAGAAUGGAUGCUUUUGAACUGAGGUGUUGGAGAAGACUCUUGAGAGUCCACUGGACUGCAAGGAGAUCAAACCAAUGAGUCCUAAGGGAAAUCAGUCCUGACUAUUCAUUGGAGGGACUGAUGCUGAGGCUGAAGCUUCAAUACUUUGGCCACCUGAUGCGAAGAACUGACUCACUGGAAAAGACCCUGAUGCUGGGAAAGAUUGAAGACAGGAGGAGAAGGUGCAACAGAGGACAAGACGGUUGGAUGUCAUCACUGACUCGAAGGACGUGAGUUUGAGCAACUUCUGGGAGAUAGUGAAGGACAGGGAAGCCUGGCGAGCUAUAGUCCAUGGGGUCACAAAGAGUCAGAAACGACUGAGGGACUGAACAAGAGCAAUCAUUACAAAGAAUUCAAGUGAUGUUUCAUGUAAAGAAAAAAAUGUGGAAGUCUAUCUCCACUGGCUUUUUUUCCAAAAUGAAUUUUCUCACUUUUUGCUUUAUAAAUUGAAUUCAUGUUACACCCUUAAUCCAGAAUCAAGCUUCUGUUUAUAUACUGGGAAAUUCCUCCACCGACGUGUGUGUAAGCCGAUCCCCUUUCAAGUGUACUUGUUUCUGAGUGUAAAUCUGCUUGCUCCUCGAGCCGCUUCGACAGGAAAUGGCUGGUGACACUGAGGUCCCCCAGGUGCUCUGCCAAAGAGAAGUGUUGGGAGUGACCUUUGACCAGUGAAGUCCCUGCCUCCCUCUGCACCCGCCCGUCUGCUCUGGGGAUGCUCAAGAGCCCACCAGAGGUGGCCGUGGGAGGGGACCGCCUCGGGAACCAGGGCACAGGCCGCUCACGUCACGGCUCCCUGGUGCUUUUAAAAGAACGACUAUACUUGCUCUUGAAGUUUAUGAGUUUUCGUUUUUCCUGUUUUAGGCAAAGCAAAGAGCAAAAAAUGAAUGAAGAACACAACGAACACUCAUCAGAUACCGUGGAUCAGCUUCUGUCUGUUUCAGAUGAGAGGCUUCAGCUUCAUCUGAAGGAGAGAAUGGCUGCUCUGGAGGAUAAGGUGAGCCAGCUUCACGGCCCCUUUACAAGAGGCGCAUGUGGCCUGGCCUGGCUCGGCCCUGUCUGUGUGGGGGAAAAAUCUCUA
rnacentral:lncRNA from 1 species